CUGUAAUCAGCCUCUGGUUGUACACACAUAGCAGCAAUUGCCGCCACCUGAAUAACCUCUUUCAUUGAGUAUUGACUCUCCAAUGCGGGAUCCAUAAUUUGCACGACCUUCUCUCUAUCUGUCAAACAGGGCAGCACCCAAUUCACAAGAACACCUUCCCCAGGAGGUCUCUUCAUAUCUACUGGAACUCUGCCAGUAAGCAACUCCAACAGAACCACCCCAUAACUAUAGACAUCUGAUUUUGUUGUCAAAUGCCCAGUUAAUGCAUACUCAGGGGCAAUAUAUCCCUGGGUGCCCAACACUCGAG
rnacentral:misc_RNA from 1 species